UACAGAGGUCUCAAGCGUUGUUCGGAUUCAUUGGGCGUAAAGGGUGCGUAGGUGGCGCUGUAAGUCAGGUGUGAAAUUUCGGAGCUCAACUCCGAAACUGCAUUUGAUACUGCGGUGCUUGAGGACUGGAGAGGAGACUGGAAUUCACGGUGUAGCAGUGAAAUGCGUAGAGAUCAUGAGGAAGACCAGUGGCGAAGGCGGGUCUCUGGACAGUUCCUGACACUGAGACACGAAGGCCAGGGGAGCAAACGGG
rnacentral:rRNA from 1 species